AACAGUUCAUUCAAUUACAGAUCAGAGUCAAACAGACAAAUAAUAGGUCAAGCUAUAAUCAUAUACAGAACAUAGCAAAACAAAUGCAGUUACUUAAUACCAUCGCUACACACCAUCUCCGACCAACCCAACACACCAAUUAGGUUAUUUAUUACCCAUCCAGUCCUACACACCACUCAGUGUUGGUCUGACAUGUUUCAGAGAUACCAGUCUAGCUGCCAGAUUAGUACACGGAUACUAGGGAUUUAACCACU
rnacentral:lncRNA from 1 species